rnacentral:rRNA from 1 species
AGGGGGCUAGAACUACAGGAUCCCUAGUAACUGCGAGUGAAGCGGGAAAAGCUCAAAUUUAAAAUCUGGCGGUCUCUGGCCGUCCGAGUUGUAAUCUAGAGAAGUGAUGCCCGCGCUGGACCGUGUACAAGUCUCCUGGAAUGGAGCGUCAUAGAGGGUGAGAAUCCCGUCUCUGACACGGACUACCAGGGCUUUGUGGUACGCUCUCAAAGAGUCGAGUUGUUUGGGAAUGCAGCUCUAAAUGGGUGGUAAAUUCCAUCUAAAGCUAAAUAUUGGCGAGAGACCGAUAGCGAACAAGUACCGUGAGGGAAAGAUGAAAAGAACUUUGGAAAGAGAGUUAAACAGUACGUGAAAUUGCUGAAAGGGAAACGCUUGAAGUCAGUCGCGUUGGCCAGGAAUCAGCCUCACUUUUGUGUGGUGUACUUUCUGGUUGACGGGUCAGCAUCAAUUUUGACCGCUGGAAAAAGACUUGGGGAAUGUGGCAGCUCCGGCUGUGUUAUAGCCCUUUGUCACAUACAGCGAUUGGGAUUGAGGAACUCAGCACGCCGCAAGGCCGGGUUUCGACCACGUUCGUGCUUAGGAUGCUGGCAUAAUGGCUUUAAGCGACCCGUCUUGAAACACGGACCAAGGAGUCUAACAUGCCUGCGAGUGUUUGGGUGGAAAACCCGGGCGCGUAAUGAAAGUGAAAGUUGAGAUCCCUGUCGUGGGGAGCAUCGACGCCCGGACCUGAACUUUUGUGACGGAUCCGCGGUAGAGCAUGUAUGUUGGGACCCGAAAGAUGGUGAACUAUGCCUGAAUAGGGUGAAGCCAGAGGAAACUCUGGUGGAGGCUCGUAGCGAUUCUGACGUGCAAAUCGAUCGUCAAAUUUGGGUAUAGGGGCGAAGACUAAUCGACCAUCUAGUAGCUGUUCUGCGAUUCCCCUAGCAAAAAUAAAACACAGCCUACUAGAAUGGGUUCGGAUAUAAGUUCUUUCGCCCUAUACCCACAUUGACGAUCGAUUUGUACGUCAGAUCGCUACGAGCCUCAUCAGAGUUCUCUGGCUGCCCUAUUCAGCAUAGUACAAUCUUCGGUCAAAUACAUGCUUACCGGAUGCACAAAUUAGGUCGGGGUAAUCUCAGAGGUAUUACACAUUCAGCCUCGAUACCCCGUCGAGACGUUGAAAACUGGGUUCAUGAGAGAUCAGUCA